rnacentral:rRNA from 1 species
CCUACGGGAGGCAGCAGUGGGGAAUAUUGCACAAUGGGGGAAACCCUGAUGCAGCGACGACGCGUGAGUGAAGAAGUAUUUCGGUACGUAAAGCUCUAUCAGCAGGGAAGAAAAUGACGGUACCUGACUAAGAAGCCCCGGCUAACUACGUGCCAGCAGCCGCGGUAAUACGUAGGGGGCAAGCGUUAUCCGGAUUUACUGGGUGUAAAGGGAGCGUAGACGGCAGCGCAAGUCUGGAGUGAAAUCCCAUGGCUUAACCAUGGAACUGCUUUGGAAACUGUGCAGCUAGAGUGCAGGAGAGGUAAGCGGAAUUCCUAGUGUAGCGGGGAAAUGCGUAGAUAUUAGGAGGAACACCAGUGGCGAAGGCGGCUUACUGGACUGUAACUGACGUUGAGGCUCGAAAGCGUGGGGAGCAAACAGGAUUAGAUACCCUAGUAGUC